GGUGAAGCAGAGUGAGGAAGACUGAGGUGCAACAGGCUUUCAAGUCAGAGGAAAGGGGGCCUCAGGCCAAUGAGUGCAGGCAGACGUUGGGAGUCAGAAAAAAAUGAACAAGAAAAUAGAUUCUCCCCUAGAGCCUAGAGAAAGAAAACAGACCUACCAACCUCGUGAGGUGUGUCCAGUGAGAAUCAUUUUGGACCUCUCUCCAAAGCAGUAAGGAAGGCAAGAAAUUGAGAGGAUACCUGUCUUCCCAGAGGUUUUCCUGAAGUACACAUAUGACUUCGGUGGUAUAUUUGACAAAACUUAGAGUGAUUGCUGAUGAUGAGUCCCAUUUAAACUGAAGACAGCCUCUAAGGCCCCCGAAAAGACUUUGAUGUUUCACAUGUUCUUUCAGUGGACCCAACCCUUAAAAUCGGCAUCUUAAAAUAGCUCUCUGGUCUCUACCGGUGUUAAUGACUGCAAUAACUGGAUUAUAAUUUUCACAAAAGAUAAGCUAGUGUUCGAUGGCAUGGAUAAAGAAUUUACAAAGAGAACUUAGAGCAGUAUUGUGACUGAUGAAAGACCGUGAACUGGAACUUUCUCAUUAAAUGGAAUUCCUCUGUGACUCAGUAUCCGUUGCAAUGGUGUAUCGUCUUGCUAUGGACGCUCAUUCCCUGCUCUGGGUAGAGGCCACCGAUGCAUUUCCCACAGGCCGCCAGAGAGCGAGUAAGUGUCCCCUUCUCUGCCAGCUUGGAAUCGGCCAAAUGGUUCCUACAAGUCCGAAGUUACUGGCUUGGUUUCUGGGGCUUUGUAACAAGGAAAAAUUAAAGCGCUGUAGCAUGAAAAGAGGAAAACACAAGACUUCUAAAAGGAUAUAAAAACCAGAAAUGAAAACAUCAGAAGCAGUGCCAAGCAGUAUUUGAAGUGCCUUUUCAUGAUGUUUGAAGUGUCUUAAUGUUAAUCAGAGCAUAAAAAUUUUGUUUUGCUUUUUUCCUAAUGGCAGGAUCAUGGAUAUAUACUUUUUUCUAAUACAAAUAAUCAGCGUAAAAAGGGAAAGAAAAUGUGUAGGAAUGUUGAGCCGCCUGAUGGGGUAACUUCUUUGAAUAUUCACGUAUCAUGGAUUUUUGAUGUUGUAAACAUAGACAUGUAUUUUUUAACAGUAAAUGCAGAAGUGUUGCUGGAGCGAUAGACAAUAUAACUGUCCCUAUCCAUUUCUAUUCCAUUUCUAGGAAAAUAAAGUCAAAAUAGUGUAGAAAUUUCAAUAAAAUAUUAUGAAGAUGUUGUAAAACCAGCCCUCAGUAUUGCUAACAAAGCAUGCUCCAGUCUAAAAGUCUAAGGUGAGAGGAACUCUGCCAACACAGUAUUAAACAUUGUGUACGUGAAUGAAAACCACAGAAUCUCUAGAAACUUGGUUUUAGGAAAGAUAGUUUUAAUUACAGACCAGGAUGAGCUUUUAGACAAAAAAAAAAAAAAAAUCUCCCCCAAAGCCAUAUAUUCAGCAUUUAUCUUUCCGAGUUUGCAUGUAGAUUCCUAAUUUACAAAUGGAGAAUCUCCUUAGCUAAGGUGACCACUUGAUUUAUAAGCAACAUUUAAUCUUCAAAACAUCCAUACAGAUUGGAGAUCAGGAUUUUGAUAUUUGUUAGGUCAGUUUAGCUAAGGGAAUUUGAAAGGAAUUUGUUGACUCCAGUAAGGACAGGUCAGUGCAUACCCCACCCCCACCCCCACCCUGGCCCAAGACUGUUCUUCAGCAAAAUUAAGAAAUUUAAAAAAGAUCUACGCUCUCCAUUUUUGUUUCUUGUAAGUAUUUAUUGGGGGCUCUUUGUUUCUGUCUAUCUAUGUUUGCAUGGUUUAUACACUGUCCAGCUCUCCACAUCAUUCAAACAUGGUAUUAGAUACCAUUCACGCUUUUUAAGGACAGAAAAUUCAUUUUGUGUUGUCAGAUGGUUUUGUCAAGGAUACUUGGUGAAAUCAUAUUAAAAAUGCUGUUUUGAAAAAUAGUUUGGAAGAUGAUAAAUGGAACUUCGUGCCUCAGCCCUCUGAGAACAAUUUUGAUAGUUUCUUGGGCUUGUUUUCUGAGGAAAUCAAUGGAUGAGAUUUACAAAAGGUCAACUGUGACCUUUCGUUUACAAUCACACCAGUAUUUUCAAAUCUGUAGGAUAUUUCUACUUUGCACUGCUACUCUCAUUUUAAACUCUGCAUGAGUAAACAUAAACUUCCAUACUUCCCCUCUGGCAAAACAGUGAAGUUUCUCAAGGACUCCAUUUGGAUCUACCAUUGCUCUGUGUCAGACCCCCACUCCCUCAAACAAGAUUCUAAUGACUUUAAUCCCCUCUAGCAGCUCUAACUAAUUGAUCUCCAAAUUUCACGCUGAUAUCCUAUUCUGAGAAAAUCCUUUCUUCCUAUUAUUUCUACUCAACCUAUUUCACUACGUCUCCCCAACCUGACUGAUCCACACUAGUCAGAAAAUUGCUAGCACUUAGUGUCUCCAAGUCCCGCCUUUCAUUUAAUUGUUAAACUGCUGCAACCUGCCUUCUGUAAUAGCUAAAUCCAAUAGAAAUUUUUUUGUUCCCAAAUGAUAUACCCAAAUUGCAUGCGUUCCAAAGAUACUCAUUUACAUCUGCUUACUAUUGUGGUGGUGUCCGGUGUUGGGACUUAGGUUCACAAUGAUGAGGAGAAUUAGCCAGCCAUUUAUGGGAAGUAAAGAACCAUUGAUUAAAACAACAACAACAACAACAACAACAACAACAAAACAUAUGAAAGAGAGCAGAGGUUUUAGAGAACAUGAUGCCAUCAGAGGAAGUCAGUCAAAUUGGAAGAUGAAUGUGGGGUUGUAUCUGUUGGUAAAACUAAAGAUGGGGGUUAGAGUCAGAUCAUGAGGAAUCUCAAAUGCUGUACCAAAGGUUCAGACGUUGUGCAGUCUUGGGGUACCAUUGGUGGAUUCCAAGCAGUGAAGUGAUAAAAGCACAUUUGAAUUUUAGAAAGACCAUGCUGGUGAAAAUUGGGACAAUAAAUUGAGAUUGUGCAAGAUUAGAAGCAGACACAAUUGGUUAAGUUAAUUCUAAGUCCUAGGAGAUGAAUGAUGAGAUUCUAAACCAGAACUUUGACAAUGAGAUGAAGAGAAUGGAAUAGAUUUAAUAGCUACUUGGGUUACAGAACUGACAAAAUUUGACCAUCAAUUGCAUAUGGCGUGAGGUUAGAAAGAGACAACAUUUGAGGAAGAUUAUCACAGAUGAGUAAUACUUGAGUGAGGCAAAGUAGCAACUUUUAAAGAAAGAUGCUCAAUUUGAUUUGGGUCCUAAUUAUAAACUGCCUGAAUGGCAUCCAGAUGAAAUUGUUCAGGAGGCAUAUAAAAUACACAUAGAAUGAUGAGGUGAUUUCCUGGUAGAGCCAAAGGUUUUUGGAGGGAGAAUAAUUAGUAUAUACGUGACAACUAAAGCUAUGACCACAGAGCCAGAGAGCAGGACUUGAGUGCGAGACGAAGAUAGCUGUAUCAAUCAGAGUAGGUGUGGUUAUCCUACAGUAACACCCCCUUCAAACCUCAAUCAUUUACAGUAACAAAGAUUGACUUCUCUUAUUUGCUACCUGUCAUUGGUGUGUGGGCUUUGACUCUGUUCUGAUCUCUGAGACACAGCCUUUCUGAACAACUUCUGGAUAGAAUAUCGUUUAUCAUUAUGCAGAGGGAAAGAGAGGAUGUGAUGAAGUAUGAAUGGAGCCUUAAAACUUCUGCCUGUAAUACCUAAAACUUUUGCUCAUGAUCAAAAAAAAUCCCAAGUUCUGACUGCUGAGGGGUGAGGAAGUGAAAGUCUCUCUUGGGGAAGGAAAGUAGAUAGUCGGUGAACAAAAACGAUCUACGAGGAUUGCCGAGUUAAAAUCCAAGAGAAUAGAAACAUUUAAGUAACUCUUGAAAAAGGCAUACCUUCGAAAAACGCUGAAAGAGAUGGGCCAUAAUAACUAGAAAACAUGCAUCAAGUAUCAUUCCUCAAAUAGAGAAGAAAAAAUCUUUUUUGUAUAAAUGCAUUAAUGUUUUGAGAAUUUAUGUAGAAGAGGUAUAUUAGCUUUUCAUAAUCACUAAAAAUUGUAGGACAGUGGGGAUACAAUUUGUUAAACCUUUCUUGCAGAAGGCUCAUCCUGCAAGAUGUGAAGUCACAGGCAAGUGGAAAGGAAAAUAUAAAAGAAAUGCAUUAAUUCAGUGUUUGGAUACACUGUCCUAUAAAGUCAGAAAUACUCUCCGAAAUUCUCUUAAUAGUUGAAACAUUUGAUUUUUUGAAAAGCUCAGGCUAGCUUUUAAUUUCUCAUUCUUUGUUGAGGCCUUAGAUUUGGUAUUACUAUUUGCCCCUUUGAUUGCAAGCAAAAUGAAAGUGCCCAGAGAUGGAGAUAACUUCUUACAGCGUGUGUGUGUGUGUGUGUGUGUGUGUGUGUGUGUGUAAAAUAUGUUCACUUCUUCCGCAUAUGAGUAAAGUGCUAAUCAUUGGUCUAUUGUGAAAAGCUGGGCAAACCUCCAGAACUGAGACCUGAAUUUGCUGUUAAUGAAGGAACAGUGGAACAUUAGGAAGUGGAGGUGGUUCUUUCUUGUUCUGAAAUUAAAUGUGGAGCGGAGAAUCCAGAGUUGAGAUUUAGUAAAUCUAAGCUCUCUGAAAUAUUAAUUAGCCUGUGAUAACUCUGCCGCAUUUUAAUAAAUACAGUUAUGAAUUACUCAGUAUUUUUCUUUGAUGUACAAAUAGGUAGCAAUGGGAAUCAGCAGUGACUAAAAGUAUGAAGCCCCUCCUCUGGCGGAACUUAGAUGGAACUGGGGGAAACGUGUUAAUGAAUUGUACCCUUAAUAAUAGAAUUACGUUAGUGUUAACCCUCAGUGAGGAGAAGUAUGAUCUCUAAAAGAUGAUAUGACCUAGACUGUUUUCUUUCGAGAAAGGGAUGUAGAGUAGACAGUUGAGGGAUGCAUAGGCUUUAGCAGGUCAAGAUGAUAUUGACUGGGUGUUAGGGAGCUUUCCAGGCAGAGGGAAUAGCAAUUAUGGAAGCAACAAGAGUACAGUUGCCUGGAGGAUUUGAAAAAGUGCAGUCUAGGAGAGAAAUGUGGUGAAGAUGUUGACUGACCUGAGUUGUAUUUGAUCUACAGAUCCUGGAAGCCCUUGUAGUCCAUGGUGAGAUUUCAUUCCAGCAACCAUCAAAAUCUUUUUUUUUUCCCUCAAAGCCUUUUUAUAAGACAGAAAAGAAACCUACUCACAUUUGUGUCUUCAACACAUUGUUCUUGGGACUGUGGGCAGACACAGAUUAACAGAGUGGCAAGACAGGCCAUCCCCUCAUUUCCUGCAGUUCAGGUCAGGGAUCAUGGUAACUCGGAAUGAGAAUGGAAAGAUAGAGAUGAAAUCCAGAGAUAACUCAAAAAUAAAGUCCAAUGGGAUCUAUGACUGAUUAGAUACAUAUGGAAAGUGCAGUUUCUAAGAGGAAUGGAUCAAGGAUGACCGUUAAUACGCAAAGGCAGUUCUAUGAAAGGUUCUAGUCUUUGGGUGAGCACAACAAUCGUUUGACUCAGAAGAGAGCUCUAGAUCCUGUGUCUCUUUAAGGUCAAAUUUUGUUAUGUCCUAGGAAAAAAUGAUUAAUUAUGAAGGUCUAUUGUACAAUAUCAGGUUACCCAUUUUUAGUCUGUUUCAAUACAGAGAGACUUUUGAUGGAAUAUUCAAAAUGAUUGGGUCAUUUGCCUUUUGGGAAUACGCUCUUCAGUAUUAAGCAUUUUGCUACCAGUCACCUUUAAGUUUAUCCAUGGCAUAAAGUAAUGACAAUGAUGACGAUACUUGGCAUUGAGUCCUCAUUGUGUGUCAGGCACCACUCUAUGUGCUUCAUGUAUAUUAAUUUGUCUCCCAGCAACCCUAGGUACUAUUUACCUCUAUUUUAAAGAGGGAGAAAAUGAGACCUAGAAUUCUUCCAUAUUUGCCAAAGUAGACAACACUAGUAAGUAAAAGAAGCAAGAUUUGAAUAUGCCUAGUAUAAUUGGGGAGUCUGAGCUCUUCAAUACCGCCCUAUGGGAUUACACUGUAGGGAAUGCUAGUGCGCAGAAGCUAAAAGAAUGUGAUGGGAGAAAGGCAGAGCUCAAGGGGUUGUGAUUUGCGGACAAAGCACUUUCCCAAGAAGCCUGGAGCUUUGUCAUAAAGGAUAGUCCUAGGUCUGUGAUUAGCCCUGAUGUUUUCCAGAGUGAGUGGCCCCAAGUAAUGCAUUGGUAACGAUUAUCCCCCAGGAGUCCUGCAGAGUCACAUCCCUUAGGAAUCUCUAGACAUUGGGUUGUGAUAUCUUAACCUGUGGAAAACGAUAAUCACGUUCAUCUCUGUUUUGCCAAAGUUGGAAAGUAGGGCUUGAUGGUGGACAGAUACUGAGGGUCUACUGGGUAAACACAUAAAUUGUUCUUGUAAGGUAUAAGUUAGUGAUUUGGUGUCUUUCUUCCUAGUAAGGUUUGGAGGAAGGAGAUAAAUUGCGUAGGCUGAGGACUCUGUCUUUAGUUAAAAGUCUCUCAAAUUACUCAGAAUUCUCAUCUGGUAAAAAGUAAAGAGAAGGCAGGAAGAAAAAAGAAACCCAUGUUCACAAAACCUGAGGUUUGAUGGGCUUGUGGCAGAUUCUAAACACAGCCGCAAAGAGCUUAAUGAUGUCUAAAGACCUAAUUCACUUUAGGGUAAAAACAGCAUUUUAUUAUUAUUUGUAGAUCCGUUCCCCCUAAAUUUUUCAAUUAAACCUCAUAUUGGCUGUUGAGGUGCAAGGAAAGAUGAGGUUAUUCCCCUGGUUGACGAAAAAAAGCUGAUGAGAGCACGCAGAGGAGAGGUGAUUUGCUCAUGUAGUGAACUGAAUGAAGUGUACUUGAAUUCUUUAAUCUCGCAAAACCGUAAACGGGGUUUUAAAUUCCUAGUCGACCAUACUGAUUCUUGAGUAAAAGAUACUUCCCACUGUCAUGCACUAUAAGAAAGCUAUUAUGGUGCUCAGUUUGGUGUAACUGGUAGCUUUCACUUUGAAAUGCUGCAGGCCUGUUCAUUUAUUGCUUUACUAACUCUACUCAAUCUGCCACAGAUUCCAGGGACUGUUGGACAGUGAUUUCUGGGGGAAUAGACAAUUCUGUGAGAUGGCCAGCCUUUAUGUUCAGGACUGUAUAUUUCGAAUUAAUCUUUUUCAAUACCAGUUUGAUUUUUUAUUUGAAAUAGGAUUGUAUACUGUUAACAUGAGCUAAUUACUUCAUUUGAGUUUGUAAUAAGAACAGAAGUAAAAAAUAAUUCUUCAUACUCACCUUGUUUAAAGAUCUGGUAGUUCCUAAGAAUUCUCCCAUAGUUCCGAUGGCACUUACUUUUAUGCAACACUCUGUGACCCUCUUAAAUGUUUUAAUUUUCAAUGAAGUCCCAUAAUACAGUUGGUGUACUUAUUUGAUCUACUUUUGGAAAUAGAUUUGCCUUUCUGCUGAUGUAGAUUUAUUGCUAUAACUUAUUUUAAAUUCAAACAGUUACAAAUUCAAUCAUUCAUUGAUUUCCUAUUAAAAGCUUUCUGUGGAAAUUGUGUGCUGCUAUGUUUCGGGUUCUAAAAGAAAUGAUACACUUGGAGGCUGGGAGAAGAGAAACAGAAAGACAAACAGGUAGUGAAAUAUUUAGAUUUUCCUAAAUGUAACUUUACUCAAUACACAGUAAAUGGUAUGUUUCACUGGAUGUCAUGUUACACAUUAUAAACUUACUUUUCUGUACGUUUAAGGAA